rnacentral:lncRNA from 1 species
UUGUUAAGAAAUAAUAAUUUAUUGAUUGAUAAAAUUUUAAUGUACAUCUAGAGUGUUUAUACAAAAGCAUAUGUUACACAAAAAAAUUAUCCUACUGUCAUUCCUCAAAAUUGGCUGCCAUGUAGCAUCACAAAACAUCCUGCACCUGCAAAACAAAUGUUACAAAAUAGAAACAUAACCAAAUAGGUACAAAUUGACAAUACAAUUAGCCAUAGACUCGCAAUCAAUUUUAACAAUGAAUCUAAAUCCUUUCUAUGUCGUCCUACAUUAGUCUUAAUACCAAAAUAUAUGAAAAUUAUUACACUACGUGCCAAAUUGAGCAGUUUAAAUAAGUUGUUGGACCAAAAGGGAGGUGGCUUAUAAUCAAACCAUUUGGUACACCACGAUGUUUCAAUAAUUUCAUAAAUAACCUACAGGAUUUGAAAAAAAAUAGAAAUCAGUAGAUGUUCAACUAUGGAAAAGGACCAAAGCAUCAGAACAUUCAUGGUAGGCACAUUCUUAAAUGUCAUCAUGUUCUCAAGUGAAGAGGUCAAUCUAGACAUAAUUGUAAACAAAAAAUGAUGACCAAUAUAAAAACAUAAAAAUUCACUCAAAAUACUAAAUAAAUUAAACACACAAACUAAACAUAAAAAUUAAACACACAAAUUAAACAUAAAAAUUCACUCAAAAAUCAUGUACCAGAUGACUGGUGGUUGUCAAAACAACGAGAAAAAUAUACCCGAGAACAAUAAAGGAUUGCAACAGAAGAAUUGGACCACAUAUCAAAUUUUUCAUCAAAUAUACAGCCCAGUUGUAGAGAUAUCUACUAAUAGAAUAUUAAUUUGAUUAAAUAUUGGAACUUUAAAAGCAAUAAAAACCAGGGAGAAUAAUGGGAAAAUGACCGAUUUCUCAUAGCGGUCACCCUCAGAGGCGGUGUAGAUCUCAGAGGUGCAGGGCGAUAUGUGCUCACUGUUCCAGUAUGCUUCUUGCUCAUGUGUAGCAUUAUACAUAAUCAAACUGCUCCGACAUGCAAGAAAAUGCAAAGGAUGUCACCAAUGUAUUUAGGAUAAACACAAGGCAGAGGAAAACAAAAUAUAUUAUUAUCACAAUCAAACCUACCUGCAGAAAGCUCCUUGCUCAUAGUGUUCUGCACAAUAGAAGGACAAUUCAGAUUUUUUUAC